AGUGAACGCUGGCGGUAGGCCUAACACAUGCAAGUCGAACGGCAGCACAGGAGAGCUUGCUCUCUGGGUGGCGAGUGGCGGACGGGUGAGGAAUACAUCGGAAUCUACUCUGUCGUGGGGGAUAACGUAGGGAAACUUACGCUAAUACCGCAUACGACCUACGGGUGAAAGCAGGGGACCUUCGGGCCUUGCGCGAUUGAGUGAGCCGAUGUCGGAUUAGCUAGUUGGCGGGGUAAAGGCCCACCAAGGCGACGAUCCGUAGCUGGUCUGAGAGGAUGAUCAGCCACACUGGAACUGAGACACGGUCCAGACUCCUACGGGAGGCAGCAGUGGGGAAUAUUGGACAAUGGGCGCAAGCCUGAUCCAGCCAUACCGCGUGGGUGAAGAAGGCCUUCGGGUUGUAAAGCCCUUUUGUUGGGAAGGAAAUCCAGCUGGCUAAUACCCGGUUGGGAUGACGGUACCCAAAGAAUAAGCACCGGCUAACUCCGUGCCAGCAGCCGCCGUAA
rnacentral:rRNA from 1 species